rnacentral:rRNA from 1 species
UGCAAGUCGAGCGGGGAGAUGUAGCUUGCUACAUUUUCUAGCGGCGGACGGGUGAGUAAUGCUUAGGAAUCUGCCUAUUAGUGGGGGACAACGUUUCGAAAGGAACGCUAAUACCGCAUACGCCCUACGGGGGAAAGCAGGGGCUCUUCGGACCUUGCGCUAAUAGAUGAGCCUAAGUCAGAUUAGCUAGUUGGUGGGGUAAAGGCCUACCAAGGCGACGAUCUGUAGCGGGUCUGAGAGGAUGAUCCGCCACACUGGGACUGAGACACGGCCCAGACUCCUACGGGAGGCAGCAGUGGGGAAUAUUGGACAAUGGGGGGAACCCUGAUCCAGCCAUGCCGCGUGUGUGAAGAAGGCCUUUUGGUUGUAAAGCACUUUAAGCGAGGAGGAGGCUCCUAUAGAUAAUACCUAUAGUGAGUGGACGUUACUCGCAGAAUAAGCACCGGCUAACUCUGUGCCAGCAGCCGCGGUAAUACAGAGGGUGCGAGCGUUAAUCGGAUUUACUGGGCGUAAAGCGUACGUAGGCGGCUUUUUAAGUCGGAUGUGAAAUCCCUGAGCUUAACUUAGGAAUUGCAUUCGAUACUGGGAAGCUAGAGUAUGGGAGAGGAUGGUAGAAUUCCAGGUGUAGCGGUGAAAUGCGUAGAGAUCUGGAGGAAUACCGAUGGCGAAGGCAGCCAUCUGGCCUAAUACUGACGCUGAGGUACGAAAGCAUGGGGAGCAAACAGGAUUAGAUACCCUGGUAGUCCAUGCCGUAAACGAUGUCUACUAGCCGUUGGGGCCUUUGAGGCUUUAGUGGCGCA